rnacentral:lncRNA from 1 species
AAUUCUUGAGUAGGCUGAGAGCCUGCAGGUGCCAUGCGCUUUGAUUGUUGAGUGAACCGGAUGUCCGCAGGACCCAUACACAUUAAUUGCUGACGAAGGCUGAUAAGUGCUAAAUAAUGCAUAAAUUAAUAUCUUAUUCAUAGCACUUAUCAUUAUUUUAAUUCACAUAUUUUGUAAAUUCAACAAAAAAAAUGUGUUACCUUCAUCAUUGCAUUUUAAUAAAUUAUAAGAGGUAAUUCGAGUUGAUUUAAUUAUUUAUUGAUGAAUGCAGGUCAAGUCAAACUCAAUUGGAUGAUGCCCAAUUCCUUCACAAGUUCACCUAAAUUUCUUUCCACUCGUUCCAAUUUUUUUUUCCACAUGAUCCAAUUCCCCUAUUUUAAUCUCAAAAACAAUAAAAUCCCUUCAAUUAUUUGUCUCCAGAUCUCAAAGCAUACCAUCAUAGUUGCACAGACCCAAAGCUUCAUCCACUCCUCACAUCUCGUUCAAACUUCCAGCAUCCCACGGUCAGCCGUCCGCAUUAAGAUCCCAACAUUCCAUGUUAUCCCUCCCUUCCGAAUCCAAAGAACAGAGACGUUGGCUCUUCCCAGUUGAAUCAAAUUCAAAACCCCGAACUGAUCAAUCCUUAUCCCAACUAAAUUCCCAAGCUUUCCAGUCGUUCGUGAUUCCUCCCAGGCUAUCAGCCGUGUCCACCGUUCACAGCUCC